rnacentral:lncRNA from 1 species
AUUUGCUGCCUUUCUGGGAGAGUUAGAAGCAAGCCACGUGGGUGACUUCUUUUCAAAGUUCUCUGCCUCAGAGGAGGAAGCCCCAUGGGUGGAGGCCAGGCCCGAGGCCAUCCUGCUCUGGGCCAGAGCGUGCCUGUGUCUGAUGAGCGAGGACAUGCCUCGUCUGGCUGAGCCUUCCAUUUCACACCGGCAGCUCGAACCCCCCAUCACGGCUUCCUUUUGGGCUCCCCUCCUCAGGGGACCGAGCUUGAAAUGUGCUUGCCCUUCAUCCCUAAGGCCUGCGUCCCUUCCUCAGAGAGGACUAAGCCCCUCUCCCAGUCUUGAUGUUCUCCGAGGCCCUUCUUAUUCACAGAACCUAUCUGGCUUAUUUAUUCGCUUGCUUGCUUCUGAUGUCUUCUCUUACUGAAAGGAAUCGAAGGGCCAAGGAAUGUGUUUUUCGUUGAUGUCAACUUGCUGCAAAGGACCACACCUGCUUCUCGACCCAGGAACGUGGGAAAGGGAAAGGCUUGGCUUGUUUUGGUGGAGAUGGAGAUGCUGGUAACAGUGGAGGAAUGCCCUCCUUCUGAUUCACAGUGGGGAGGUGCUCUGGGCCCCUGCCACUGCCCGAGGACUUCAGCUUUUGGUUGUCCUGCUGAGAGGAUGCGGCAUUUGAGCAGUAGCUUCUGGAGCCCAGAGUGAAGCCCCACCCAGGCACCCUGACAGGACCACAGGAAUGCUCCUGGCACAGCAAGCAGGACUCUUGAGAAGCUCAGCCUCCACGCUCCUUGUAGAUGUUCAGUUCAAACUCCACAGUUUGUGUGACUCACUGAAGGGCUUGGUUUGGCUCUCGCUGACGAGUCUGUCAUCGGUGCCAGCAUGCCAUUGGGCGUUUGCCAGACAGGGCCUAUCAUGUGGGCCCUACACCUAUUCACACACCUGCCAUUUGCCUUCAGAAUCCUGUUCCCAGUGGGUAAUGGGUUUAAAAGCCCAUAGCUGAGUUUAUCCACAUUGGAUCCGACCCACAUUCCAAUGCUCUUUAGACAACCGGGUUUCACCGUGUUAGCCAGGCUGGCCUCAAACUCCUGACCUCAAGUGAUCCACCCGCAUCGACCUCACAAAGUGCUUGGAUUACAGGUGUGAGCUACUGUGCCAGGCCAGAAAAAAUAAAAUAAAAUAAAAUAAAGACGAAUUUACCUGGUCAUUUAAAAAA